rnacentral:rRNA from 1 species
UAGCCUUGACAUUGAUAGAACACUUUAGAGAUAGAGUGGUGCCCUUCGGGGAACUUGAAAACAGGUGCUGCACGGCUGUCGUCAGCUCGUGUCGUGAGAUGUUGGGUUAAGUCCCGCAACGAGCGCAACCCUCGUGACUAGUUACUAACGGUUCGGCCGAGGACUCUAGUCAGACUGCCUUCGCAAGGAGGAGGAAGGUGAGGACGACGUCAAGUCAUCAUGGCCCUUACGGCUAGGGCGACACACGUGCUACAAUGGGUAGGACAAUGAGAAGCGAUACCGCGAGGUGGAGCAAAUCUAUAAACCUACUCUCAGUUCGGAUAGCAGUCUGCAACUCGACUGCUUGAAGCUGGAAUCACUAGUAAUCGUAGAUCAGCCAUGCUACGGUGAAUACGUUCCCGGGUCU